AGCUCUGAGGUGCUUAGCAUGUUAGAUUGCAAAUCUGAAGGAGCAGGCUAGCUGCCUGCCGGGGCUU
rnacentral:tRNA from 1 species